CAGUAGCCACGGUAAUACGGAGGGUGCAAGCGUUAAUCGGAAUUACUGGGCGUAAAGCGCACGCAGGCGGUCUGACAAGUCAGAUGUGAAAUCCCCGGGCUUAACCUGGGAACUGCAUUUGAAACUGUCAGGCUGGAGUCUUGUAGAGGGGGGUGGAAUUCCAGGUGUAGCGGUGAAAUGCGUAGAGAUCUGGAGGAAUACCGGUGGCGAAGGCGGCCCCCUGGACAAAGACUGACGCUCAGGUGCGAAAGCGUGGGGAGCAAACAGGAUUAGAUACCCGUGAGUCCCUGUCUCUUAUACA
rnacentral:rRNA from 1 species